rnacentral:antisense_RNA from 1 species
CUUCAGCGCGCCCAGCCAGAGCGGGCGGCCGGCCGGCCGGUCCCGCCCGUAGGUCGCGAGGAUCGCCUCGGCCUC